CCUACGGGUGGCAGCAGUGAGGAAUAUUGGUCAAUGGGCGCGAGCCUGAACCAGCCAAGUCGCGUGCGGGAAGACGGUCCUAUGGAUUGUAAACCUCUUUUGUUCGGGAGCAAACGACGCCACGCGUGGCCUUCCGAGAGUACCCGACGAAAAAGCAUCGGCUAACUCCGUGCCAGCAGCCGCGGUAAUACGGAGGAUCCGAGCGUUAUCCGGAUUUAUUGGGUUUAAAGGGUGCGCAGGCGGAAGAUAAAGUCAGCGGUAAAAUUUAGAGGCUAAACCUAUUCGAGCCUUUGAAACUGGUGAUCUAGAGUGAGCGAGAGGUAGGCGGAAUGCGUGGUGUAGCGGUGAAAUGCAUAGAGAUCAUGCAGAACUCCGAUUGCGAAGGCAGCAUACCGGCGCGCAACUGACGUUGAGGCACGAAAGUGUGGGGAUCGAACAGGAUUAGAUACCCGAGUAGUC
rnacentral:rRNA from 1 species